rnacentral:rRNA from 1 species
GACGUAGGGCGCGAGCGUUGUCCGGAUUUAUUGGGCGUAAAGCGCACGUAGGCGGCUUUCUAAGUCGGGGGUGAAAUCCUGGAGCUCAACUCCAGAACUGCCUUUGAUACUGAGGAUCUUGAGUACGGGAGAGGUGAGUGGAACUGCGAGUGUAGAGGUGAAAAUUCGUAGAUAUUCGCAAGAACACCAGUGGCGAAGGCGGCUCACUGGCCCGUAACUGACGCUGAGGCACGAAAGCGUGGGGAGCAAACAGG